ensembl:lincRNA
UCAUAACCCACAAGUCAAGGCUCAUUUGUAACUAUCAUUUUUCCAGGCUGCAUAAAUGUGACUGCCAUGGGAGUUCACAGAAGUAUCUCAUGAAAUGGCCUCUUAUGAAGCCCAAGACAGGAAGCAGCAGGUACAGGAUUCAGCAGAGUUAAUACUCUUGGAUAAUGUAUUUAAGGAUGCUUAAGGUUGUGUCUAUUGCUUUUAAGAAAUACCAACAACUGAAAAUUAUCAGAGAAGUUCAAGAAUACUAUUUUCAGUAUUAGAUUUUCACCAUCUACUAUAUCAGAAAAUCAAUAAAUAUACGUUAGGUGUCAUGGCCGAAUAUUAGGCAAUCCCUGUCUCUAAGGACUGCCAACAUGUUAUAAUAAAAGAGAAGAUUCACAUAAAGGACAAUAUAGGAAGAAAGGUUAUAUUAUUUUAAAAUGUAAUAAAUAUUUGACAAUAAAUGAUAAAGGUG